rnacentral:sRNA from 1 species
UCCGAGGGGUCCCAUGAGAUUGGAUAGGGCCUGGGCCAUCUGGCGCCCCCUUCACUCCCAGCUCACUGAGGCCUGUUCAGCCUGGCUGGGUCAAUGGGACGCAGCCUGGGACAGUGUGCCCAGGGCGAGGCCAGGAUUGGAGGAGCUGGGCCCAAGGGUGAACACCCUCCUGGCACAAGAGGUUGCUCGGGGCUGCCAGGCCUAAAGGCUGCCUCACACCUUGCAGAGGGAACUCCCAGGCCCAGGCCUGCUAGGGAGAUGGCUACCUGUGGCUGCCAGCUGAUUAGCCGAGGGAGGCCAGGCCUAGCCUGGGCUCACAGCUGCCCAUGCACCUUGCGUUCCCCUCCCAUAGUGUGGCCCCAGAGCCAGCACUGCCCCUGGCGAGAACCGUCUCAGGUCACUCAAGUGUGUGGGGUCUAGAUCAGAGGCAGGGGUGUAGUUGUUUCAAUCUUGGGGUUGGCUAGGGUGACCUGUGCCUAUUGGGAUGACCUCUUCUAAGGCACCUGAACAGGACAGUCUCCCCCGUCACUUAGGGCCAGACAACGUCUCUGGAGUAACUCAGCCAGAACACACUCUCUCCAUCAGCCAGGCCAGAGGAGCCUUUCCUGUCAUUGCAGUGGUGUGGCCUCUCCCUCACCUGGUGGGCCUGGACAACCUCACAUCCUGGGGUUGGGCCAGGCCACCUUUCCAGAGCUAGGACUUGGGCAGCCCCAGGAACAGCAUUCCAGAGGACUCAAGCUCCACAGCUGUGUCCCCAUAAGCACGCACACGUUAGGACUCUUCAGGAGGGCAGGCUGCGGUGCCUCCCUCCGCCCGACCGCCUGGUGUCCCCUCCCACUGGGGCCUGGGGGGCCUGCUCCUGCCUGCGCUGUGGACUCACUAACUCUUUGUUUUUGUUCCUUUCCGUCCUGCUUUGGGUAACUUGGCUCAGUGUGAGGGAGAUGUGAGUAUACCUGUCCCACGCGCUGUGCUGCUUCCGGUCUGCCCAUCUUGCCCGUGGACCCACGGUGCCGUGGCCAGCCCACGUCCUUGGGGCAUUUUGCAAGCAGCUGGUCUCCCCGCCAGAGCCUCUACUGUGCAGGGCCUCUGGUUUAGGGGGGAUGCCAGGCGUUGGGGCCUGUGAGUCAGCUUUUUGCAAAUGUUGGAUACCUGUCACUCUGUCUGCCCAUGCAUCCAUCUGUCUACCCUCAUUGUGGGAAGGGGCCUGGCCCUUGAUGCAGGAGCGAGAGAUGUGGUGUGCGGAUUCUGGGAUGGAAAAAGCCAUCCCAGUUGGGGGUGGGCUGUGUUUGCGGGACCCUGGGGCAUCUGAGUGCCACUGGUCUGGGGAGGAGGGGGCUGUGGCCCCUGGCAGGGGAGAGCCCAGCCUGUGACUUGCUCAGGCAGCCUCGGCCAUCUCCUCACCGCAUUUGCUCUCCUGAGCUCCAGUGCCUGCAGCCACUUGAUCUUUGUCUGGACUCUCCAAGUCCCUAGGCCCCUCAUCUCCAGGUGGUUGGAGUCGGGAGAAGGGGGUUUGUGUUGUGUUUGUAUCCCCCUGUCCCUGGGGUCAGGCCUCUUGGCAUCUCGUUGUGCAAGACUCUGGGGUAGCCUCCUGACCUCGACCCUGGCCCUGGCCCAGGGUGACCCCCUCCCCACAUGAACUCUGUUCCCCGCCAGACGGUGCCUGACUUUCAGGAGACUAGACCUCGUAAUUACAUUCUCUCGGCCAGCGCCUCCGCGGUAAGCGCACCCCACCCCCACCCCACCCCUCGUCCUCCUCUCUCCCCACGUCCCACGCCACUGCCUCUGACUGCACAGGAGCUAGAAGCCAGCUUGGGUAAGGCGGGGGCACUGCCAUGUGAUCAGGUCAGUCCUGAGACACUGGGGAGGGGCAGCAGCCCCCACCUCUGUCCACGGCCUGGCCCCGGUGCCCUGUGGCCAUGGAGCUGGACUUGUUUCCCUCUGCAAAACGCUGGAGCUGGCGGCAGGGCCAGCCACACUGAGUAGUGUGGAGAACUCAGGGCGGCAGCUGUCCCAUCCCCAGGGCCCCUCCACCUCCUGCUGUCUCUGAAUGCCAGGCCCUGGGGAGGCCCUGAGGAUAGAGGAGGAGGCCUGGCCGUGCCUUUCCGGAGUUCACAGACCCCUAAAGACAGGAGGCAGGGAUGGCGUUGUAGGCCUGGAGAGCGCCUGGGGGGCGGGAGGGCCUGAGGCUGUGCUUAAGGCCCAGAGGUCCUGGAGCAGGGCAUGUCUUGUCCUGAGGCUUAGGCAGGGCCCCCAGGGGAGUUGGGGCAGGAGGUGGGGAGGACAGGAUCGUGGAGGCUUCGCAUGUCAUGGUGUCUGUUGGUUUUUAAGCUUUCUUGGGAAGUCUGGUGUUUCCUAUGUAGUUUGGGGACUAGGCCACACCUCUCCCUCAUGCUUGUCACCACUGCUACACCUUGUCUGCCCACUUUCUCUCCUUCCCGCCCCUGGAGGUGAGAUCCUCACCUCUCUUGUGAGCAUGCUGCCUCAUGUCUUCCGUGCCGUCGUUCUGUGGCUGGGUGACUGUCCCUCAGGCCGCCAACCCUAGUUGGCUCUCACAGCAACUUCCAGUGCUCCUGGACGGGGACUUCCUAAGCAGCAUGGGGGCCACACGGGCGGGCCACGCACACUGGCCUGGGUCCGCAUUCCCUAUUUCAGGCUGUUGUCUCGGGUCAGAUCUCCGGAAGCGGCAGGAGCGCUGGGUCUCCUGGUCGUGGCCGGGCAGCGUCUUUCUUCUUCAGGGUCUGGAUGCCACUUCCCGCCUCCUCCCUGUGCCCAGUGGAAGGAGAAACAUCCUAGAGGGUGGAGACUGCCCUGUUUUUCUUUUGCCAUUGAGUCCCAGUGUGACUCAGGCACGAGGCCACCUUUCUCUGCCAGAGGACAGAAAGCUUCAGUGACUGGCCCAGGGUCACACAGUUCUGCCGCCCAGCCCAGCAGCCUGAGCCAGCAGUCAGGAUGGGGUGGGGACACUCCGUCUCUCUUGAGACCCCACUCAGAGAAUGGGGCUGACACUGUAGGAGAAAUAUAAGCAGGACUCCUGCUGGCUGCUCCCCUCCUGCAUGAGGCAUGUUAGAGGGACUGGGACCGCCAGCCCCCAGCUCCCAUGCCGGGCCUCGGCCCAGUCUCAGCUCCUGUUUGGGAGGGUGGGGCAGAGGGGCAGGGGGGCAGAAGUUGAGUCUGGGAGCUGGGGCAGGGCACAGGCUCUAGGGUCCAGCUGUCCUCCUCUCCCCUCCCCUGCUGGCCACUCCUGCUGCCGUCUCCACAGCUCUGGAAUGAUGAAGUGGACAAGGUAAGUUGGGGCCUGGGGGGCUGGGCUCGGGGAAGAAGGGGUGGCGGGGUGCAGGCACACUUGCUGCUGUGGGGUCUGAUCUGUUUCUCACUCUGCCCCACACCACUGGGGAGGGGUUACUGCUUUCUCUCCCUGGGCCUCAGUUUCCCCUGUGGGGAAAUGUUUUCUCCACAGUACCCUGUAGCACACAGUAGGCCCUCAGGAUGCACUUGCUGGGUGGAUUUCUCCGAUGGGUGAUGGAGGAAGGGUCUGUCACUGCAGCUGCCUGUGGGGUCCUGAGUGGGGCUCUAGCUUCUCUGGGGUUGGGGCUCCAGGUGUGAAGUCAGGCAUAGACCCAGAAGGCUCUCCGUGUUCCCAGGGGAAAGGGACAGGCGGCUCCCAGGUAGGCUCCAGGAGAAGACUGCGGGGAAGCUGGUGGGUGGUGUGUGGGUGCUCAUGGCUGCCCUGCCCUGCCCAGGCCGAGCAGGAGCUCCGCGUGGCCCAGACAGAGUUUGACCGGCAAGCAGAAGUGACCCGUCUCUUGCUGGAGGGAAUCAGUAGCACUCACGUGAACCACCUGCGCUGCCUCCACGAGUUCGUCAAGUCUCAGACAACCUACUACGCACAGUGCUACCGCCACAUGCUGGACUUGCAGAAGCAGCUGGGCAGAUUUCCAGGCACCUUCGUGGGCACCACAGAGCCCGCCUCUCCACCCCUGAGCAGCACCUCACCCACCACUGCUGCGGCCACUAUGCCUGUGGUGCCCUCUGUGGCCAGCCUGGCCCCUCCGGGGGAGGCCUCGCUCUGCCUGGAAGAGGUGGCCCCCCCUGCCAGUGGGACCCGCAAAGCUCGGGUGCUCUAUGACUACGAGGCAGCCGACAGCAGUGAGCUGGCCCUGCUGGCUGAUGAGCUCAUCACUGUCUACAGCCUGCCUGGCAUGGACCCUGACUGGCUCAUUGGCGAGAGAGGCAACAAGAAGGGCAAGGUCCCUGUCACCUACUUGGAACUGCUCAGCUAGGCAGGUGCCCCCAUCCCCCCGCAUUCUGGCCUAGGCAGGAGAGGAUGGGCGCAGCCCUGACACUUAACUUGUUUGUUGGUGACACAGCUGUUCAGAGUGGGGAGAAUUCACCCCAUUCUGUCCCUGCCCCUAGUCACCUAGCUGUGAGGGUGCCUGAGGCUGAAUGGCUCCACCCCUCCCCCAGCCCUGCUUCUGACCUGUGGCUCUGGAGCCCCUGCCCCUGCCUGCAUCCCCGAGCACCCCACCCUCCAGGCUCCACUAAGGAGGGAGGGGCUGUCUGCAGCAGCUGCACUCAGCACCUAGGCCAGGGUGGGGCCGCCGCAGAUGGGCUCAGGAAGCCCCAGGUGCACUCAGCGAGAGCCCUGCCUUUCAGUUGCCAAAAGCUGCAUCAGGGGAAUGCGGCAAGGCACACAGGGCUCUGGCAGCCCCUGGGGACUGGGCGCUGCCCCUGGGAGGGGAGAGCCUGGCCAGGGCUGGUGUUGGGCCCGGAGCAGCAUCUUCCGGUGCUAUCCUCCCCUCCCACCCCUCACAGCUCAAGCCAAGUCC